rnacentral:rRNA from 2 species
AGGUGCAAUCAUACCAGCACUAAUGCACCGAAUCCCAUCAGAACUCCGCAGAUAAGAGUGUGUGGGUGAGAGUAGUACUAGGAUGGGUGACCUCUUCGGAAGUCCUCGUGUUGUACCUC